rnacentral:lncRNA from 1 species
CAGGGAUCGAGUGGACCCGGUCCUUAUGUUCACACACCAGUUUGGAUUGACAUUCUUGGUAUAAUCAACUUUCCGAUAUGGUUCAUUGGAUGCACAUACAUAACUUUCACCUUCCAGCAGCUCGUCCAGGCUGGAGAGCUUCUUGCUGCCAUCGAUGGUGUAGAUGGUGCGGACACCCUGGGGCAGGUUCACGUUGUCCGACAGGGAGCGGGUGAGCUCGGCGAGGAGAGCGUCGAAGGAGCGGAAGCGGUCGCUGGAGAUGGCAUACACCAAGCCCUUGAAGUACUUGUCCCCGUUGCGGUAGAAGCGGGCUUUGCGCGCUUUCUUCUCCGAGCUGAGCGCCUGCAGCGUCCGCGUGCGGUAGAGGCUGCAGUGGGCGCUGUGUGCGGGGCUGGGGAUCAACCCGUUGCCCCGCGGCCCCGCGCCGCCGCCCGAGCCCGAUCCGCCGCGCCGCGGCCCGGCGCGCUGCUGCCUCUUGUCCCGCUCCUCGAAGUGCUCCAGCUCGAUGCUCCGGCUGCUCGCCAUGGGGACCGCUGCCCGCCCUCGGGCCACGCGCGCCUAAUUCAGCAUCUCGCCCGGCCGCUCGCGCCGGGAGGGCUGCGCCCGCUCGCCCCGCGAUAGCACCCGCCGGCUCCGCCGCUGCCCGCCGUUGCACACAAAAGCAUCCCUCGCUCCUCGGCGGCUCGCGGCUAACGGCGGCGCCGCGGCGGGAGGCUCCGGGGAGCCCCGCGGCCGCACCUCCGCGCCGUGCCCGCGCAGCUCUCACAAUGCGGAGGAUGCCGCGCGCCGCUCCCUCCUCGGCCCGUUCCCAGCCGCGGAGAAGGGGGUGGGGACCGAGCGCCUAUUCGGCUGCCGGCCAGCGCGGGGAGCGGCGCGGUUUCCC